AGCUUUGCCUGCAUUUGUUUAUUGAUGUUUUAAUAAUAAUUAUUCUGACUGAUGUGAGAUGGUAUCUCAUUCCAGUUUUGAUUUGCAUUUAUCUGAUGAUUAGUAAUGUGGAACUUGUUUUGCAUGUUUGAUGGCUGCAUUUCUAUCGUAUUAUGAGAAAUGCCUGUUGUGUCUUUUGCUCAUUUUUAACUGGGAUUAUAUGUUUUUUGCUUGUUGAAUUGUUUAAUUUCCUAUACAUUUGGAUAUUAGACCUUUCUCAGAUGUAUAGUUGUCAAAUAUUUUCUCCUAUUCUGUAAAUUCUCUGUUGAUAGUUCUUUCCUGUGCAGAAGUUCUUUAGUUUAAUUAGGUCCCACUUAUCAAGUUUUGUUUUUGUUGCCAUUGUUUUUGAGGAAUUAGUCAUAAAUUCCUUCCCAAGGCUGAUGUCCCAAAUGGUGUUUCCUGGGUUUUCUUCUAGAAUUCUUAUAGUUUGGGGUCUUACAUUUAAAUAUUUAAUCCAUCUUGAGUUAAUGUUUGUAUAUGGUGAAAGAUAGGGGUAUAAUUUUAUUCAUUUGCACAUGGCUAGCCAUUUAUUGAAUAGAGAUGCCUUUCCCCAUUGCUUAUUUUUGUCAACUUUGUCAUAAGUCAGAGGGUUGUAGGUGUGCAGUUUUAUUUCUGGGUUCUCCAUUCUGUUCCAUUGGUGUAUAUAUCUGUUUUUGUACCAGUAUUAUGCUGUUUUGGUUACUGUAGCAUUCUAGUAUAGUUUGAAAUUGGGUAAUGUAAUCCCUCUGGGUCAUUCUUUUUGCUUAGGAGUGCUUUGGCUAUUCAGGCUAUUUUGUGGUUCCAUAUGAAUUUUAUAAUAGUUUUUUUCUAGUUCUGUGAAAAAUGAUGGUGGUACCUUGAUAGAAAUAGAAUUGAAUCUGUACAUUGCUUUGGGCAGUAUGGUCUUUUUAACAAUAUUCAUUCUUCCUAUCCAUGAGCAUGGAGUGUUUUUCUAUUUGUUUGUGUCAUCUCUGAUUUCCUUCUGCAGUGUUUUAUCAUUCUCCUUGUAGAGAUCUUUCACUUCAUUGGUUAGGUGUAUUCCCAGGUAUCUUAUUUUUCACUGAAGCUAUUGAAAAUGGGAAUGUGUUCUUGAUAAGACUCUCAGUUUCAACCAUAUUGGUGCAUAGAAAUGUUACUGAUUUUUGUAUGUUGAUUUUGUAUCCUAAACUUUACUGAAGUCAUUUAUCAGUUUCAGGAGACUUUUAGCAGGGGUUUUAGGAUUGUUCUUGGUAUACAAUCAUAUCAUUGGUACAGAGAGAUAGUUUGACUUAUUUUCCUCUUUGGAUGUCUUUUAUUUAUUUCUUUUGCCUGAUUGCUCAGGCAAAGACUUUUUGUAUUGAAUAGGAGUGAUGAGACUACAUCUCCUUGUCUUUUCCCAGUUUUCAAGGGGAAUGCUUCCAGGCUUUGCUUGUUUGGUAUGAUGUUGGCUAUGGGUUUGUCAUAGAUGGUUCUUAUUAUUUUGAGGUAUGUUCCUUGGAUACCUGGUUUCUUGAGGGUUCUUUUCAUGAGUAGCUGUUAGAUUUUAUUAACAGCUUUUUCUGCAUCUUUUGAGAUGAUUAUACGAUUUUUGUUUUCAAUUCUGUUUAUGUGGUGAAUCACAUUUAUUGAUGUGCAUAUAUGAACCAUCCUUGCAUUCCAGGAAUGAAGCCUACUUGAUCAUGUAGAAUUAACUUUUUUAAUGAUAAUUUUUACAUCUGUGCUUAUCAAACAUAUUGGCAGAUAGUUUUUUUUUUUUUUCAUUUGUCUUUACCAGGUUUUUGUAUCAGGGUGAUGUUGGCUUCAUAGAAUCAACUAGGGAAGAGUCCCUCCACCUCAAUUUUAUGGAAUACUUUCAAUAGGACUUGUGCCAGCUCUUCUAUGUACAUCUGCUAGAAUUCAGCUGUGUAUCCUUCUGGUCUGGAGCUUUUUGUGAGUGAGUAGGUUUUUUAUUACUGAUUCAAUUUCAGAACUCAUGUUCGUCUGUUCAGGGUUUCAAGUUUUUUUUUUUUUUUUUUUUUUUUUUAGACCAGUCUCAUUCUAUCACCUAGGCUGAAGUGCAGUGGUGCAAUCUUGGCUCACUGCAAUCUCUGCCUCCUGGAAUCAAGCAAUUCUCUUGCCUCAGCCUCCUAAGUAGCUGGGAUUACAGGCACUCACAACCACGCCUGGCUUUUUUUUUUUUUUUUUUUUUUUUGUAUUUUUGGUAGAGACAGGGUUUCACCAUGUUGACCAGGCUGUUCUUGAACUCUUGACCUCAAGUGCUCCAUCUGCCUCGGCCUCCCAAAGUUCUGGGAUUACAGGUGUGAGCCACCAUGCCCAGCCCCUCAAUUUAUUUCUGAUUCAAUCUUGGGAUAUUAUGUGUUUUGAGGAAUUUAUCUAUAUCCUCAUAGAUUUUCUAGUUUGUGUGUAUAGAGUUUCUGUUCAUAAUAGUCUCUGAGGAUCCUUUGUAUUUCUGUAGGAUUGGUUGUAAUAUCACCAUUGUCCUUUCUGAUUGUACUUAUUUGGAUACUUGCUCUUUGUUAACCUUGACAGCAGUCUAUCAAUCUUGUGUAUUAUUUCAAUAACCAACUUUUGGUUUCACUGGGUUUUUAAAGACGCAUUUUUGGGUCUCAAUUUUGUUCAGUUUUGUUCUGCUUUUAGUUAUUUCUUUUCUUCUGCUAGCUUUGGGGUUAGUUUGAUUUUGUUUUUCUAGUUCCUUUAGGUGUCAUGUUACAUUGUUAAUUUGAGAUCUUUCUAAUUUUUUGAGGUGGGCAUUUAGGUGCUAUCAACUUCCCUCUUAACAUUGAUUUUGCUGCAUCCCAGAGAUUUUGGUAUGUUGUGUCCCUGUAUUCAUUUAUUUCAAAUGAUUUUUUAUUUCUGCAUUAAUUUUGUUGUUUACUCAAAGUCAUUCAGAAGCAAGUUGUUUAAUUUCCAUGUAAUUGUGUGGUUUUGAGAGAUCUUCUUUAUACUGAUUUCUAUUUUUAUUCCACUGUGGUCUAAGAUUAUGGUUGGUAUAAUUUUGAUUUUUUUGAAUUUAUUCAGACUUGCUUUAUGGUCAAGCAUGUGGUCAGUCUCGGAGUAUGUUCCACAUGUAAAUGAGAGGAAUGUAUAUUCUGUGGUUGAUGGGUGGGUUAUUCUGCAGGUAUCUAUUAGGUCCAAUUGGUCAGGUGUUGAAUUUAAGUCCAGAAAUUCUUUGUUAGUUUCCUGCCUUGAUGAUCUAAUACUGUAAGUGGGGUGAAGUCCCCCAUUAUUAUUGUGUGGCUGUCUAAGUCUUUUUGCAGGUCUAGACAUAUUUGUUUUAUCAAUCUGAGUGCUCUAAUUUCAGGUGUUUAUAUAUUUAGGAGAGUUAAGUCUUCUUGUUUGAUCAAACUCUUUAUUAUUGUGUAAUGCCCUUCUUUGUCCUUUUUUACUGUUGUUGGUUUACAGUCUGUUUUAUCUGAUAUAAGAAUAAUGGCCCCUACUUUUGUUGUGUGUUGCAUUUGCAUGAUAGAUCUUUCUUUCACCCUUUACUUUAAGCCUAUGUGUGCCAUUACCUGUGAGAUGGGUCCCUUGAAGACAGCAGAUGGAUGGAUCUUGUUUUUUUAAUCCAACUUGCAACUCUGUGCCUUUUAAGUGGGGCCUUUAGGCCAUUUGCUUUCAAGGUUAAUAUUUAUAUAUGAAAUUUUGAUUCUCCCAUAAAGUCGUUAGCCGUUGCUUUGUAUUUUCUAUUGUCUGGUUGCUUCACUGGGUCUGCGGACUGUGUUCAUAAAUGUGUUUCUGUGGUAGGAGUUAUGGUUUUUUUGUUUCCAUGUUUAAAAUUCCCUUAAGGAUUUCUUGUAAGCUUGGUCUAGUGGUAACAGUUUCCCUUAUCACUUGCUUGUCUGUAAAAGAUUUCUUAUUUCACUUAUGAAGUUUAGUUUGGCAUGAUAUGAUAUUCUUGGUUGCAAUUUAUUUUCUUUAAGAAUGCUGAGAAUAGACCCCAAAUCUCUCCUGGUUUGUAAGGUAUCUGCUGAGAAGUCUGCUGUUAGCCUGAUGGGGCUCCAUUUGUACAUGAUCUGACCAUUUUCUCUAGCUGCCUUUGAGUCCUUUUUCUUUAGCAUUAAACUUGGGCAGUUUGGUGACUAUAUGCCUUGGUGAUGUUCAUUUGUUUAUAGUAUCAUACAGGUGGUCUCUGUAUUUCUUGCAUCUGGCCAUCUACUUCUCUAACAAGAUUAUGAAAAUUUCCUUGAAUUAUUCCCUCAAAUAUAUUUUUCAGGUUCUUUUAUUUGUCUUUCUCAGGAAUGCAAAUAAUUCAUAGGUUUGGUUGCCUUACAUAAUCCCAUAUUUCUUGAAGACUUUGUCCAUUUAAAAACUUCUUUACUUUUUAUUUUUGUGUGACUGGGUUAGUUUGAAAGACUGGUAUUCAAACUCUGAAAUUCUUUCUUUGGCUUGGUCCAGUUUAUUGAUAAAGAUUCAAUUGUAGUUUUAAAUUUCUUAAGUGAGAUUUGCAACCCAGAAACUCUGAUUGGUUUCUUUUUUAGGAUGUUCAUCCCUUCCUUCAUUUCCUGGAUUGCUUUACAAAUUUCUUUGUGUGGAUUUUCAACCUUGUCUUAGAUCUUGUUAAGCUUCCUUUCAAUUUUUGUUUUUAAUUAUUUUUCUGUCAUUUCUGUCAUUUCCAUUUUGGUUAGAGACCUUUGCCAGAGAGCUAAUGUGAUCCUUUGGUGGUGUCACUACAUUCAGAUUUUUCAUGGUGCCAAAAUUCUUGCACUGUUUGGUUCUUUCUUAUCGCAGAUUUUGGCACUUCUACUUUUUGUGAUUAUUUUUUGUGCAGGUAGGAUUUUUUUUUCUUUUCUCUUCAUUUCCCCCUAAUAUAUUUUUUUCUUCUUUCCCUUUCCCUUUAGCCCCCUCCCCAGAAGGUGUGACUGUAUAGAAUUUUAAGUAAGGUCUUUUGGUUUUGCUUCUAUAACCCUAUGCCCUCCUGUCAGCUGAU
rnacentral:lncRNA from 1 species